AGGAUUCAGUCUACAGAACAAUUAGACCGGUUCUAGCUCACCGCUAGACGUUGUAAAAUUUUCGGCUAAAAUCCCUACCGUGAUGACUACGAACCUCUGAUUUAUUCGUACGUAUGAACGCAAAAUAAUGAUACGUACCUUAUACCGCACAAAACUGUAUAAUUUAUCGCGAGAUUUUUGAAACAGUACAAUCAAGCUGCUAAAAAUGGGUGCAAUCGUUGUACUGUAUCUGUGCGCUGUACUGUGUGCAAGUGUCGGUGGUGUACAAGGGAUGUGCAAACAUGUGGAAAACGACGAUAUGAUAGAAUACAUCUGCGAAGGUGGCCAACUUUCCGAUCUAAAUUAUCUUCCCCCGACAACCGGGAAAAUUCGCAUUUCCAACAUGCCCAUGCAACGAAUAACCGUGAACACUUUUGCAAGGUUCGGUUCAGAACUUUGGGUUCUAGGUUGUUCUCAUUGUGGCAUUGUGGAUAUCGAACCAGAUGCUUUUCGACAUUUGAGCAAUCUUCAGCAACUAAGUUUAAACAACAAUCACUUGACUACCGUGAAGGAAUCCUGGUUCAAAGGUUUAGAUUACUUGACAUACUUGGAUCUAAAUUACAACAGUAUUUCAUCAAUCGAGAAUGGUGUAUUCAAAAAUCUACCCAGUCUGGUUGAUUUAAGACUAUCUGGUAAUCGUUUAGAAUGCUUGAACCUUGCAGCUAUGUCCCAGCUGAAAGAUUUAAAGAGAAUAUUCCUGAGUGAAAAUGCGGAAUUCAAAUGCCCUAACGCUGUCAGUGCCUUCCUCGAGAGUCGUGGGGUUAACUUCGAAAAGGAUCCAGAAUGGUCUAAACUACCAACCGAUUUAAUUCCAGCAGAAACUUCAUCCAACUACGAUUACUACGACGAAGUAGUUCCUGUAAGCGAACCGCAACCUGCCUAUCGUGAACGAUUGCAUCCUACACCCAUGACACUAUCAUCCACUGUGGCAUCGACGAUAGCACAUAUUCUACCUAUGUUUUACACAACUGAAGAAGUAGUGUACCCUCCAAUGCACACCUCCAAUGUAGACUCAAGAACAACAUCCAGACCAUCGACAAUCCCCUAUGAAGAGCCAGAAGUUACGAGUCUAACAUACGACACAGCAAGAACACCCUAUGUUCCACCAAGAACCAUCGCACCAAUAGAGUCGACGACAUAUUCACCGCGUGAGACGGUACAGUACAGCACAGGUAGCCAAGAUGUAACGACCUUGAGAUCUUGGCCGAGAUUCCCGGAAUCCACCAGUGCCAGGACCGAAUACCCGAUCUAUCCUCCCCAUAGAAACCAGGACAAACAUUACACAGAACAGCCGGAUUAUUCGGGCUCAACAGAUUCGUUCCUCUUGGCAUCGAGCCCAGGCGAGCGUCAUGAAACAACGGAGCUUGACGCAGAAAGUAUCAUGAAUUCCUUCGUGACUGAGGGGCUAGAAAGAAAUACCGUAUCACCGAAUGUAGAAUAUACACCUAGGAUCGAAAGCAGAGGACCGGGAUAUCCAGAUCCAGUGACUCCUUCAGACACAAAUCUCAUCAUACGACCUAUCCAGCCAGUGACGCCAACAAUGGUCCACCCCGCUCCGCUAGAUAACGUGUAUCAGUCGCCUUAUUACGAGACCACGGUCACUGUCCACUCACCGCCUUUGGUGGCUAAUCGACCACAGCAAGGGGAAGUAACUCCGGGAAUCAUGCCAAUUGAAACGACUACCGAUAAACCAUUGCCCAAGUGUGAAAAUUUAUCGUCCUCGAGCCAGGGCUCCCUAGCAAUGAUCAUGCUUUCCGUCUUCCUUGCGAUCAUGCACCGUGUCCUUGUGGAGGGAUUUUAGCUAGAAAUUUCACUCAACGCACAACUCUCAUCUUUAAUCCGAUCGAACUUUCGACAACGGGCAAUCUGUAUCGACCAAUCCAACGUUUGCGCGAACCUGUGCGGGCACCAGCGUCGAGCAUGGAACGUAGACCUAAAUGGAACGGCGUCUCUGGAAUCAUUUAAUCGCAUACCUUAGACCGAGUGACCGAAGUACGGCCAAUUUCGUCGUUUUCACUUCCGAGGGCAGCGUGGAAGACUUCGUCAACGAGAUACGCUAUCAGAGGAAGCAACCUAAACAAUUGAUUCUUCAGAAGCACCACGGAGCCUGCAGAACCCACAGCUUUCAAAUCGUGCAACAUUGGAAAUAAGAAGACGAGCUGCUACGUACAAGAUUACAAAUAUCGUGGAAGAAAAAUUAGCACGCGAUUAGCAGAAAAAGAUCAAAAGUCCACGGUAUGACAGAGCAGCUAAUUUCACACGCAUCUUAUCAGCAGAACUUAAGAAGUUUAAGAAGUAUGUUUGGCGUGUCAUAAAGGAUAUCGUUAAUCGAGUACGUCAUGAUGCAUGUACCACAAGCGUCAUGAGGAAAAAUUGCAAUUGAACAUCUGAAUAUCGCCGAAUAAUACCGGCUAGUCGAUAAAUAAGAAGCAACACGCAAGAAGUCGUGAACUCGAUGACCCAGGGUCAUCAGAUCUCUCCAGGGUUAAUUCACACGAAAUUCCACAACGAUGACUGACCGCGAAGGGAAUUCGUUACGUAACAUUGAGCGCUGCCUCGAACUCGAUGACUAUUUUCAAUUAUUUCGUGAUUCGAAUGAUUUCCGGUGCGACGGGCUCGCAGCCAGAUGUGUCGUCGCUCUAGACAC